GUAUGAGAUAACGUAUGGGGUUUGAUUAGUCAAGGAACACCAUGAGCCACCAUAUAAUGGAUAAAACUAAAUCAAAAGAUUUGCAGCCAAGAAUGGUCAGAAAAACUGACCCUAUGAGCCAGAAACGCAAGGAUUUUCACAAAGCAUGUCGGAAUAGUCGUGAAUAUUAUUGCCACCAUAAUAGGGGAGAGCUCAUAACCUGUGUGCCAUACUAUCCCUCUGCACCAUUUUGGUCUUCUUCUCCUUCAGCUGACUGCUUUUGCUUUUCCUGUUCCUCCAUAAGCUUAUAUAAUGCUUUCUGAGUAC
rnacentral:misc_RNA from 1 species